rnacentral:rRNA from 1 species
UACGUAGGGUGCGAGCGUUGCCCGGAUUUAUUGGGCGUAAAGGGCGCGUAGGUGGCUCGGCACGUCCGUUGUGAAAUCGCUCGGCUCAACUGGGCGAGGUCAGCGGAUACGGUCGAGCUUGAGCCAGCUAGGGGGCAAUGGAAUUCCCGGUGUAGUGGUGGAAUGCGUAGAUAUCGGGAGGAACACCAGUGGCGAAGGCGGUUGCCUGGGGCUGUGCUGACGCUGGAUGCGCGAAAGCGUGGGGAGCGAUCCGG